CGAAGUAUAGCAUAUAUAAUGCUUUUUACUUACACUAAAAAAAAAGUUUUAACUUACUUCGC
rnacentral:tRNA from 1 species